UAUUAAUUUUAACGAUAGGCAUGUGUACGGGUAAUUUUAAAUUUAUAAUAUAAUAUUGUGUCCGCCGUGGCAACACCUAUAGCUUAUAACAGGUGGUAUGGAAUUCCGACCAGAACCUUCUCAAGAGCAAAAACGAAUAUCCGAAUUCCGUCUCGGAUGGAUCAUCUAGGUCUGAACUCCUGUCCCUGAUAUAUAAUAAGUAUUAAAUU